rnacentral:lncRNA from 1 species
CUAUGCAGCUAUCAAUGUAACUAUCCAUGUAACUAUCCAUCUAUGUAAUUAUCAAUGUAACUAUCCACGUAUGUAACUAUGCAUGUAAUUAUCCAUGUAACUACAGUUUGAUAGUUACCUGGGUAGUUACAUACACGCUACACUUGUGUUCACUUAUGUAACAACAAAACCUGUCUAUGCAGCUAUUAACUAUGCAUGUAACUAUCCAUCUAUGUAAUUAUGCAUGUAACUAUCUAUCUAUGUAACUAUGCAUGUAACUAUCCAUGUAACUAUGUAUGUAACUAUGCAUGUAACUAUCCAUCUAUGUAACUAAACUAUCCAUCUAUGUAACUAUGCAUGUAACUAUGCAUGUAACUAUGUAUCUAUGUAACUAUCCAUGUAACUUUUCAUCUAUGUAACUAUCCAUGUAACUUUUCAUCUAUGUAACUAUCCAUGUAACUACAGUUUGAUAGUUACAUGGGUAGUUACAUACAUGUUACAUUUGUGUAACGACAUUAACCUGUCUAUGUAACUAUCAAUGUAACUAUGCAUGUAACUAUCUAUCUAUGUAACUAUGCGUGUAACUAUCAAUCUAUGUAACUAUCAAUCUAUGUAACUAUCUAUCUAUAUACAGAUUGCUAAUUACAUGGGUAGUUACAUGGAUUUUAAUAGAUUUAUGUUCUGAGAUUGUCGUUAGUCGUUUGGUCUUUGCAUUGAAUCAUUUGAACAAAGUCGGGGAAUAAUUCCAAAUCAAAAUGAUCAAUUAACUUAGUCCAGAAUAGAAAAUGAUCAUAGUCCUCACAAUUACUAAGGACACCCAUCUUGCUCAACUUAGAUUCUCCAUAGGCAUCACCUAUCUAUUUCUUGUUGUCAGCUACACUUUUCCAUCUCUAUAACAAUCAUACUUCAAAGCUUUACUCCUUCAUAAUCAGUAAACUAACAAUGUUAGCAACUACAUGAAACUUCCGCCACCCAAAACAAUAACUUCACAGUGGUCACCCAUUGCCGGAAUCCCAACUGCUUCCAAUUCUCCAAUUCAUCUAAUUCCAACAUAUAUAACAAUCACAAACAUGCUUUGAGAUUCAUAACUACUGGAAAUCACUAAACUAAGAUUGAAACACCACCAUGUACCACCACUGCCAACACCAAACACAGUAAACCCAAACAAACCUGCAACUCAGCUCUCUACCUCCAAUUCUACAAUUUAUAUAAUUCCAGACAACAUAAUAAUCAUCAAUCCAACUCCAGCAUACAAAUUCAAAACCAAAAAACAAUAGAAACACCUCCACCACUGUCGUGCACAGCAGCACACACGGCGGUCCUCCUCUGCCAAAACCCAACUUCUUCAACACCCAACCAAUCUCAAUUCCAAUUAUAGAAACAUGUAAAGCUCAUCGAAUAGACCAACUUUAAUACCUGUGUCGAAAUAGAAGCUCACCGGAAUCCGUCAAACUCUCACCGGAAAAUCCCAGAACUUCUUCUCUUCGAUUCUCCCUCCUCCAAGCUUCUCUUCAAAAAAUAAGGUCAUAGAGACGUUCUCCAGAUUGAGGCGAAGCUACCACCACCAUUCAUGUCCGCCGCCGUGGCCAGAUUCGUAAACUCGCCGGUGAACCCAGAAAGUACUUCUCUCCUCCGAUUCUCUUUCAGCAUCGCUUCUCCAUGAAAUCUGAUACAACAGAGAUGUCAGGGACGACGAGAUGAAGACGUGGACACCAGUCCUGCGCCGGGAGGCGGCCGGACGACGGAGGAGCAAUUCGCAGCUCCACCCUGCUGCAAAACGUCGACGUCUCGACGAGGUCGGUCUGGACUGUGUAUUUUUGGGAGCGAGAGAAAUGAUUAUGGUUAAUGUGUUGUUAUUUUUGUCAGUGGCAUGACAUGUAAUUUUUUAAAAAUUUAUGGGUAACGGUUUAAAGAAUUUAAAUGUGUGUAUUGUUUUAUCAUCAAGGAACAUUUGUUAAUAUUUUUAUCAUUUAUUACUUCUAAAUGUACAAUUUUAUCAUUGGCCCUUAAGUUAUUUUGUGUCCAAGUUGGUUUGAACCUUUGAAAACUUGGAAUAUCUUUACUUUCAUGAAAAUAUGUCUUAAAUUCCAAGCUUUUCAGAUCCGAAAAAAAUCCGAGAUCUGAACCGGUUUUUUUCGGAUUCAGAUUCAUUCGGAUCGUGUAUUUAAAAAUACAAAUCCGAUUAGAAAUAGUUAAACAAUUCGGAUCGCGGAUUCGAAUGCAGCCCUAGUAGAAAUUGUAGGAUAAACACAUAUAUGAUUACCACUUUUAGAACGUAAUCAUUCAAAUGAGAAUCUACUGUGAUCUAAUAAACACAAAUGCAUGUUUUUUCUUAGUUAUCACCGUUCGUCGUUA